GUCGUUUUUCCUCCUCUCUCUCACUUUCUUCAUUCAUCACAGCACUGGAAGGUCCUGUAACGUGUGUUGAGUUCCAUCAGUCUCCUUCCCUGAUAGUUAAAGAUGGGGGAGACGUGGAGAUUCACUGUAGCCAUAAUGACAAUAACCUGCCUGUGAUGUUGUGGUACCAACAGAAACAGGCCAGUUCUGCUCUGUCUCUGAUAGGUCAGUGUGGAGCAGGAGGCCCCGUCGUGCUCCAGCCCAGAGACCUCUUCUCCUUUCCUGGUAACACCAGUACCUCCGGUCCGGUCAUCCUGACGUGCUCCAUGGGCCCUGGCAUCAGCAUGUCCAGCUACACCAUGUACUGGUACCGACAGGUCCGCUACGGUGGCCCGGUAGAGUUCCUCAUAAAGGAAUACGAUGCCCCUACGGGCCAGUACCAGGUGACCUUGGACCCGACAGGGAACAGCUUCGUCCUGCAGGUCUCAGACCUGGUUGUGGAGGACACUGCUGUUUACUACUGCGCAGCCAGUCACAGUAAAGCAACAGGCUGGGGGGCCAUACAAAUAUUUAAAUGUUUAUGUCUCUGUACUAUACUUGCCUGCCCGCCUGUCUACCUGUUUGCCUGCAUUUCUGUCUGCCAGUCUAUCUGUCUAACAGAUGGUGUAUCUGGCAGGAAGACGUUGUUAAAUGUGGUUCUUCUGGUUUGAGGAUAGACUGUCUCUAUAUUACAGUACAACAGACAGUAAAAGUAAAUAAUGUGCAACAUCCAUUCAUUAUACUCUUUCAAGAUCGACACAUGAAGCCAUGUAACCAUUAUUGUUUCAAGAUACCCCCAUGAAGCCGAAUAGUCCUUUACACUUACACUGUUUCAAGAUACCCCCAUGAAGCCGAAUAGUCCUUUACACUUACACUGUUUCAAGAUACCCCCAUGAAGCCGAAUAGUCCUUUACACUUACACUGUUUCAAGAUACCCCCAUGAAGCCGAAUAGUCGUUUACUGUUUCAAGACACCCACAUAGUCCUUCUCUGUUUCAAAACACCCCCAUGAAGCCAUAAGGACCUUUGCUGUUUCAAGAUCCCCAAUGAACGAAUUAAGCCAAAUCUAAUUAGUAAUCUGGCUUACCAAAGAGGUGUUUCAGACAGUAAGGAUAAACUUCAAACUAUAGAGCAAAAAAAACUCAUACGUAAGCCAAUGUUACAAUAUGAGAGAAAGAGGUGGAUGAAAAGAGAGAAAGGGGGAGGGAGAUGGAGAGGGAGAGAGAAAUGGAAAUAAGAGAGAUUGGGU
ensembl:lncRNA